GGUACGAUAGGUAACCGACUCCCACCGGUCUUCCAGGAUCAAUAGAUGAUACCGCGUGCCAUCGUGACGUCACAUAGUAAGGCGUAUUAAAGAGACUGAAGUGACAGCAAGUAUCAUACACAGUCACUAAAAGGAGGGAUAAGAAUUGCUUUACAUGAGGAUGAACAACAUUUGAUAAACGUUUUUAUUCCGUUGUUAUUCAUAAUUAAUAUAAUUUUAAAAAUAUUGGUGCGUGUUUCUGAUUGCAGCCUGACUAUUAACCAGAUAUGGUGUCUCAAAGUAUUGUGCCUUUAACAGCUAUGUUAACAACUGUUCUACUAUUUACACACACAGGUUUAUCAUUUGCACGUUCAUUAUCAUCGCUUGAAGACAGUUACUGGUUGGAUAACAUCGAUAAAAGAAAUUCAUGGUGGAGCAAAAAAUCAGUAGGCGAUUUUAAUACGAUAUCACAACCAGGUGACUCGAUAACGGACAAUCCUGGUGAAAGAGGUUCGGUUAAUCUUUACAGUUGUUAUGUUGAAAACUGUGUGCCUGAUUUUAUCGAAUGCUCCAGGACAAGUGGCGUAAAAGAGAUAUAUGGCACGUGCAAACUUCAACAUAGGGCAUGCGCUAAACAGUGUUGGACGAUUUCGCACAACAGCGGCCUAUAAUAUUGGCAAGAGUUAGGCGUCAGGCCCUAAUCACUCACGCAAAUUUGUUUGUUAACUUUUAAGGGAUUGUGAAAUCGUAUCAUUUUUACACAGGCCCUUCAAUACGUUGCAUCUAGUAGCCCCCCCUCCCCCCUCCUCCCCCCUCCUCCCUCUUUUAAUUUAUCUGUUUGUUCCGUAUGGACUUUACGGUUGGUUGGAGGUUUUAUUACUGAUAAGAGCAGACAUUAUUCAACAACAACAAAAAACACAACGUCUUUUAAACGAAACGAAUAGAAUCGAAACUUCAUUUAUUAUAUGGUUUGAAACAGAAGCUGUUUGUGUAACCCACUAGAAGGGGUUUAACAAUUGCAUCGCAGGAUGCCAGAUGAUAAGAAGACAAACGAUCCGAAAACCAAACAGCAUCCGUACAUCGAUGGCUAAAUCUAUUUGUUAAAGUCAGCUCAAUUUUUGUCAAGGUCGUUGAGAUGUAAAUAAGGUUAGGGCACGUGAUUGUUGGCGAGAUGGUAGGUUAGGGUUAUGGUAAGCAUUGGGGCUUAGGGUUACCGUUGGAAUUAGUGCUAGACUUGUUUACAUCUCGUGACCAAUGACGAAAAAUUGAGCUGGCCUUAUCAUUUAGUACUAACCGUACAUCGAUGAUGAAUCAACAUUUUCACUUUUUUGUGUAUACAUUUUAAAAAUUAGAUGUGCUUUCUGCUUUUUACCUACCUUAUUGCAUUUAAAUAUAGGUGUAAAGUCUAGAAUUACAUUUACAGGUGUGUUUUCUGCUUUUUACCUACCUUAUAUUGCGUUUUAAUAUAGGUGUAAAGUCUAGAAUUACAUUUACAGGUGUUUUAGACUGUAUUUAUUAACAUAUCAUAUCGUUUGUAUAUAAAUAUGAUUUAGUCUUGAUUUCCCAGCGUGCUAAUUUUAUCACAGGCCCAUGUCACGUGAAAAAAUAGAGAGAUUGGAAGAAUGGGGUUUAACGUCCACUUAACAUAAGCUAGGUCAUUGGGGAAAUAUUUCUAUUUCAUUAAUUCGCUUAGGCGUAUUUUUGUUGUUUUCUAUCAGUGGGGGCGUGGCUGAAAACAACCCACGCGGUUAGGCAUAUAGCUCCCCCUCUUUGUCAUGUACAAGGCUAGGGUAGAAACAUGACCAAAUCUAGAAGGUUCGGUAAGUGUCUCUGAUCCUUUGUAUUUAAAUACCGGGGUGGAACUCACGACCUUCCAUACCUGACAGACACUGUAAUCUACAACAGCGCACGUGUAAGACCCCCAAUUCAAUGUGUAUGGGUGCCCAAAAUGUGUUUAAAACAGCUAAACCUCCUUGAUUUGAGUCAAAAUAAAAUGUUGAUUUGGGUUAAUAUAAUGUGUUGUUUGGAUUAGUGAUGGGACAAGGUCCGAACCACGCAAUAUUUGUUUCAAAAUAGAAAGCGAAAGUCGACUUAGUUAUUAAAUGUUAGUUCCAUUAUUGAUUUCCUGUGUCGACAGUAAAACAAAAAAAUAGGCUGUAUCUCAACAUUGGCGUUAUCUUUACAAAAUCAGACAUCAUCGACAAUUUUAUAUCUGUCUUAAAUUAAAGAGGUCAAAUCGUUAAUACACACCCCGGGAGCAAUGGAUCUCGAUAUUCUGUGAAAAAUAAUGGGCCUUUAACUGCAUGAUUCGUAUUGUAUGAGUAAUGUGCAUUUAAGUGCAUAGUUCAUGUCCAAGCACUUCUAAGUGUAUCGCACGCUAAAGAGAUGUUUAAUGUUUUAUGACAGUUAGUGGAUGUGUUAGCUAUGAUAGUAGAUAGCAUUUUGCCUGGAUUGCCAUACUGCGCAGACAGAGACGAGGCUUGCGCGGGGUCAGCGGGGUGGUUGCCCUUAGCGCAAAAUUGUUAUGGGGUUCUAAAUUGCAAACGAAAAGAAUGGUUACGUCAGUAGUUUUACGUGUACUUGGGAGGCAGGGGGUCGAUACUGGACUGGCAUUAGGGAGUCAUGGCGACCCACGGGUUAAGGGUGGGGGGGUCAAUAAUUGUCAUGCUCCGGGCUAAGGCAACCACGUUACUACACCGCUGUGCGCAGCUUCAAGCACCUCACACGAACCACGACUGCAUUGCCACGUAAAAUGCAACUACUGUGUUGGGUUAUACAAAAUGGCGAGCUCUCUCAUUUCAAUAGUAGCAUAGCAUAAUCCCACGAUUUUUAAUAACAUCCAAAGACAUAAUAAAGCUCUUUUAUUAUUGUUGAGGUUCUAACCAAAAUUAUAUCAAUAACACGAUGGAAAAACUUUUCAAGCUGAUACGGAAGAUCUUCCAUUAUUCUACCUAUACAAAUACAAUCUAAGGAUUUUGUAAAUAUAUCUUAGUUUAUGGAGAUACGGGAUUAAGCCCACGGUUUUUAUUCAGCCAGCACAAACAUCUAAUAUUUGCAAGUAUCUCUGAUAUUUCGAAAGAUAUUAUCAAACCACAUUUCAUCAGAAAGUAAUUUCAGUUUCCUGGAUUGUUUGACACAUUUAAUGCGCUCAAAGAUUUUCUUCCAUAAAAAGAGUUAUUAUGGUCGCAAUCCCCAUUUUGAUUUCUGAAAGCACGUAUUCAUUCCUGUUAUUGAAUAUUUAUACAGACUUUACACUCCGUCUCCGAAUUUCCGAUAAUUUUGGAUUUUUGGCGGCAUUUACUGAAUCCAGUUGUCUCAUUAGUCCCACCCACCCCACAGCAUCGUCCAUUGUGAUGAACAUGGCGUAACAACGGUUCCGUGUAGUUAAAAACAGUAUGGCCGCCAUCUCCAUUUUGAUUUGUAAAGCACGUGACUAAGGCUCACCUGUGAAUGAUGUCCUUUUAAACCCGCUUUUAGUACAGAGUUACCACCCCCUCCUACCAAUGUAACCUAUUGAAUCUAGCUGUAUCACCUUGUCAAAUUCGUUAGCAACUAAUUCUUUAAAGGCUCAAUACCACUCUUGUUGUAACUGAAUAAUAUGUCUCAAUCUUUAUUCUAGUCAACAAAUUGUACUAUUUUACAAUUUUCCAAUUACUUGAUGAUACAAAUUUCAUCUUAGCACACCUAAUUUAAAAAAUUGGGAAUAUUCAAGUACAUGAUUUGAGAGGCCUAACGUAAACCUUUUCAAAUGUGACUUGGAUUUAAAAAAUAUUUUCGAACCCUCUGGACAAGUAAAAUAGGAUGUAAUGGAUAAUUUACACAACAGGUAGGACACAUAAACAUCUAAUACUUAGAAUAAGGCUAUUAUUUAUUUUCUGGAGCUGUCAAGCCAGCAAGAGUGUUAUUGUCCCUUUAACACUAGUAUUUCUCAAAUUGUUGUACUAUAGUAGAUUUAUCAUGUUAAUGACCUAUGUUCUUGAUUCUAAUCUUAAUUUUUAUUAAGAUUAUAUCUUUGAUUGUAUAAUUGUAAAUUACAAUAAUUCGAAUUUAAUUUUGUGGCAAACCUUGCUUUUACGAUUUUUUUUUCUCUUUUAUGAUAAUAAAUGAUAUGCUAUCACAAUGCUACAAA